CCUACGGGGUGCAGCAGUGAGGAAUAUUGGUCAAUGGGCGGAAGCCUGAACCAGCCAAGUAGCGUGCAGGAUGACGGCCCUACGGGUUGUAAACUGCUUUUAUACGGGAAUAACGCGCCUUACGUGUAGGGCUUUGCAUGUACCGUAUGAAUAAGGAGCGGCUAAUUCCGUGCCAGCAGCCGCGGUAAUACGGAAGGUGCAAGCGUUGUCCGGAAUCAUUGGGCGUAAAGAGUUCGUAGGCGGUAUGUUAAGUCUGGUGUUAAAUGCAGAAGCUCAACUUCUGUUCGGCACUGGAUACUGGCAAACUAGAAUGCGGUAGAGGUAAAGGGAAUUCCUGGUGUAGCGGUGAAAUGCUUAGAUAUCAGGAGGAACAUCGGUGGCGUAAGCGCUUUACUGGGCCGUAAUUGACGCUGAGGAACGAAAGCCAGGGUAGCAAAUGGGAUUAGAUACCCGGGUAGUC
rnacentral:rRNA from 1 species